GAUGAACGCUGGCGGCGUGCCUAAUACAUGCAAGUCGAGCGAACAGAUAAGGAGCUUGCGCCUUUGACGUUAGCGGCGGACGGGUGAGUAACACGUGGGUAACCUACCUAUAAGACUGGGAUAACUUCGGGAAACCGGAGCUAAUACCGGAUAACAUUUGGAACCGCGUGGUUCUAAAGUGAAAGAUGGUUGUGCUAUCACUUAUAGAUGGACACGGGCCGUAUUAGCUAGUUGGUAAGGUAACGGCUUACCAAGGCAACGAUACGUAGCCGACCUGAGAGGGGGGUAGCCCGCAUGGGAAGGGAGACACGCACAAGACGCCUAAGGGAGGCAGCAGUAGGGAAUCGGCGGCAAUGGGCGAAAGCCUGACGGAGCAACGCCGAGUGAGUGACGAAGGGUUUGGGCGCGGAAAACUCGGUUAUUAGGGAAGAACAGAUGUGUAAGGAGAUGAGCAGGUAUUGACGGUACUUGAUCAGAAAGCCACGGCUAACUACGUG
rnacentral:rRNA from 1 species